AUAAAUCAAAACUUUCAACAACGGAUCUCUUGGUUCUGGCAUCGAUGAAGAACGCAGCAAAAUGCGAUAAGUAAUGUGAAUUGCAGAAUUCAGUGAAUCAUCGAAUCUUUGAACGCACAUUGCGCCCGCUGGUAUUCCGGCGGGCAUG
rnacentral:rRNA from 1 species